AGUGAACGCUGGCGGUAGGCCUAACACAUGCAAGUCGAACGGAAAGGCCCAAGCUUGCUUGGGUACUCGAGUGGCGAACGGGUGAGUAACACGUGGGUGAUCUGCCCUGCACUUCGGGAUAAGCCUGGGAAACUGGGUCUAAUACCGGAUGGGACGAUGGUUUGGAUGCCAUUGUGGAAAGUUUUUUCGGUGUGGGAUGAGCUCGCGGCCUAUCAGCUUGUUGGUGGGGUAAUGGCCUACCAAGGCGUCGACGGGUAGCCGGCCUGAGAGGGUGUACGGCCACAUUGGGACUGAGAUACGGCCCAGGCUCCGACGGGGGGCAGAAGUGGGGAAUAUUGCACAAUGGGCGCAAGCCUGAUGCAGCGACGCCGCGUGGGGGAUGACGGCCUUCGGGUUGUAAACUCCUUUCGCUAGGGACGAAGCGUUUUUGUGACGGUACCUGGAGAAGAAGCACCGGCUAACUACGUG
rnacentral:rRNA from 1 species